CAAAUCGAACGAAGCCUUUUAGGCUUAGUGGUGAACGGGUGAGUAACACGUAUCCAAUCUACCCUUAAGUUGGGGAUAACUAGUCGAAAGAUUAGCUAAUACCGAAUAAUAACAUCAAUAUCGCAUGAGAAGAUGUAGAAAGUCGCUCUUUGUGGCGACGCUUUUGGAUGAGGGUGCGACGUAUCAGAUAGUUGGUGAGGUAAUGGCUCACCAAGUCAAUGACGCGUAGCUGUACUGAGAGGUAGAACAGCCACAAUGGGACUGAGACACGGCCCAUACUCCUACGGGAGGCAGCAGUAGGGAAUUUUUCACAAUGGGCGCAAGCCUUAUGAAGCAAUGCCGCGUGAACGAUGAAGGUCUUAUAGAUUGUAAAGUUCUUUUAUAUGGGAAGAAACGCUAAAAUAGGAAAUGAUUUUAGUUUGACUGUACCAUUUGAAUAAGUAUCGGCUAACUAUGUGCCAGCAGCCGCGGUAAUACAUAGGAUGCAAGCGUUAUCCGGAUUUACUGGGCGUAAAACGAGCGCAGGCGGGUUUGUAAGUUUGGUAUUAAAUCUAGAUGCUUAACGUCUAGCUGUAUCAAAAACUGUAAACCUAGAGUGUAGUAGGGAGUUGGGGAACUCCAUGUGGAGCGGUAAAAUGCGUAGAUAUAUGGAAGAACACCGGUGGCGAAGGCGCCAACUUGGACUAUCACUGACGCUUAGGCUCGAAAGUGU
rnacentral:rRNA from 1 species